AUGAUGCUUUCAAGGGCCAAACCUGCUGUAGGUGGGGACGUCCAGCAUACUGACAAAAGAAAGAAGAAAGGUAGGAAGAUUCCAAAACUAGAGGAGCUCCUUUCACAAAGAGAUUUCACUGGAGCUAUUACACUGUUGGAGUUCAAACGUCAUGUUGGGGAACAAGAAGAGGAUACUAAUUUGUGGAUUGGAUAUUGUGCCUUUCACCUCGGUGACUACAAGAGAGCUCUGGAGGAAUACGGAAAUGCUACAGAAGAGGAAAAUUGUAAUUCUGAAGUCUGGGUGAACCUAGCUUGCACCUACUUCUUUCUUGGGAUGUGUAAACAAGCCGAAGCAGCUGGAUUUAAAGCUUCGAAAAGCUGACUCCAAAACCGCCUCCUCUUCCACUUGGCUCACAAGUUUAAUAAUGAGAAAAAGUUGAUGAGCUUUCAUCAGAAUCUUCAGGAUGUCACAGAAGAUCAACUCAGUUUGGCCUCAAUCCACUAUAUGCGAUCUCACUACCGAGGAGCUGUUGAUAUAUAUAAGCGAAUACUGCUAGAUAACAGGGAAUACCUUGCCCUCAAUGUUUAUGUGGCCUUCUGCUACUAUAAAUUGGAUUACUAUGAUGUGUCUUGAGAAGUUUUGGCUGUUUACCUUCAGCAAAUUCCUGAUAGUACCAUCGCACUCAAUCUUAAAGCCUGUAAUCAUUUUCGCCUUUACAACGGCAAAGCAGCUGAGGCAGAACUCAAAAGCUUGAUGGACAGUGCUUCUUCAUCCUUCGAAUUUGCUAAAGAACUCAUCAGGCACAAUCUGGUUGUUUUCUGAGGAGGUGAAGGCUUUGCAGGCUUUACCUCCCCUGGUUGAUGUCAUUCCUGAAGCUAGGCUAAACUUGGUGAUUUACUACCUUCGUCAAGAUGAUGUACAAGAAGCUUAUAACUUAAUUAAGGAUCUGGAACCUACUACUCCUCAGGAGUAUAUUCUCAAAGGAGUGGUCAAUGCAGCCCUUGGCCAGGAAACAGGUUCAAGGGAUCAUAUGAAAAUUGCCCAGCAGUUCUUCCAGUUGGUGGGAGGAUCAGCUAGCGAAUGUGAUAUAAUACCAGGAAGGCAGUGCAUGGCUUCCUGUUUCUUCCUGCUUAAGCAAUUUGAUGAUGUCUUGAUUUACCUCAACUCAUUUAAGAGUUACUGCUAUGAUGAUGAUAUCUUUAAAUUUAAUUAUGCCCAAGCCAAAGCUGCAACAGGCAAUACCAGUGAGGCUGAAGAGGUGUUCCUCUUGAUCCAAGUGAGAAGAUGAAAAAUGAUUACAUUUACCUCAGCUGGUUAGCUCGGUGCUAUAUUAUGAAUAAGAAACCAAGACUAGCCUGGGAACUUUAUCUCAAGAUGGAAACCUCUGGCGAGUCCUUUAGUCUCUUAAAGCUCAUUGCUAAUGACUGCUACAAGAUGGGCCAGUUUUACUAUUCUGCCAAAGCUUUUGACGUCCUCGAGAGGCUGGAUCCCAGCCCUCAAUAUUGGGGAGGCAAAAGGGGUGCCUGUGUGGGCAUUUUCCAGAUGAUCUUAGCUGGGAGAGAACCCAAAGAGACCCUUCGAGAAGUGGUCCAUUUACUGAGAAGCACAGGUAACACCCAAAUAGAGUACAUCAUCCGGAUUAUGAAGAAAUGGGCCAAAGAAAACAGAGUACCCAUCUAAGAUAGCCCCAGCAUCCUAGGAACCAGCUUCCACUUUGACAUAAAGCUGGAAAUUAUUUUCACUCAAGUUUAAUCUGUGAUAUAGGGCUCUGUUUUAUUGACAUUUUCCCUCCUUGCUUUUUAAGCCUCAAGGUCAGUGACUGACUUGCUGAGACCUAGUCUCCUGGCUGAGCAGAGUACCAUAGUCUGUGACCCUGUAUGAUCCUUCUAGCAAUAAGACUUUGGACUUGUCUGGUGCCCUUCUUCCAGAAAUGCUCAGAGUACUUUUAUGUAAUUUACUGACUUUAAGGAAAACAGUAUAACUUUUUUUUUGUUAGCAUUUUAUGGCAUUGUUUCCUGACUGCAAUAACAAAUGUCUUUGAUGUGCAAGAAAAAAAA